UACGAAGGGGGCUAGCGUUGCUCGGAAUCACUGGGCGUAAAGCGCACGUAGGCGGAUUGCUAAGUCAGGGGUGAAAUCCUGGAGCUCAACUCCAGAACUGCCUUUGAUACUGGCGACCUUGAGUCCGGGAGAGGUGAGUGGAACUGCGAGUGUAGAGGUGAAAUUCGUAGAUAUUCGCAAGAACACCAGUGGCGAAGGCGGCUCACUGGCCCGGUACUGACGC
rnacentral:rRNA from 1 species